CACCGCUAGGUGAAAAUAAGCCGCAAAUGGCGCCGGCAAGUAGCACGAUCGAAACCCGGCGAGGCUAACAAAGAG
ncrna:unclassified sequences RT-18 RNA